UCAGUCAUAAACCUGGUUGCACAAGAGCGUUGCUCAGUCGAAUACCUCGUUAGAGAAGAGAGUCUCUCAGUCAUAAACCAGCUUAAGCAAGAGCAUCGCUGAAUGGAAUACCUGUUUAAACAAGAGCGGUCAGUAUGGUGAUGAAAAUGGACGGUCUCGCCUGGAUAAACCGGUUUACAUAAUCUUUUGCACGAAUCACUACCAGUUAACGUAGAAGCAGCAUACAAUCAGUAAGGAGACGUGUUGGCCUUUUAUACAAGAAGAUUUGAGGACAAAGGCAAAAAUGACUCAGUUCAUUGUCUGAAUUCAGCUGAACGAAAAAUCAUCUUUUGAAUUAUGUGGAAUUCUUACAGACAGUCGUUGAAUGUAAAUGAGACGAAGAUAUCUGUGGAUUUAUGCAUAGGAGAUGUGGCUACUACGGAGAAAAUCAAAUUAAUUGAACAGCAGAGCAGGGAAGAGGGGCAGAAUUGCCUUCCUCUACUAUUCAAUAUGUUUACCGUUCCAACAAUGCCCAACGUAACCAUGAGUAACAGCAAUUUAUUUGAAGAAUACGUACGCAACGCUGGAAGAACUCAGCAGCUGGAUUAAUUGACAUACGCCUGAACAUGACUGCUUUAAUUUGCUUAGAAAAUUGUAAUAAACAAUUCUGUUUAUUCAAACUGAUGGUCUCUAUGGUAGUUGACAUCAGAUAUAAAUAUACGCGCCCAGUACAUUGCUUUCAGUGACUACGGUUUACCACCACAUCGUCACGGGAAAUGCAUGCGCCUGGAAAUGGACCCGUCUUUGCCAUUUAUUAUUCUUCUCUCGCCGUAUUCGGUGUUCUAGGAACGUGGUUUGGUUUAGCAUUACACAUGUCUGCGUUUGGAUGACAACAAACCUGAACUUCAACUUGCUCUUUCAGUAUCGGCUGCUUAUUAUCAGCGAACUAACUGAUACUGGUUUCGUUUGAAUAAUUAUUUAAACUAACUUUGUAACGACUGUGAUCCUGUCGCAAGGAAAGUGCGGCCUUUCGAAAUGUAUCACCCGCUACCUGGUGUCCAUGGCGGUGACAGAUCUCCUGGUCAUUAUCACGGCUGUGAUACUGAGUCGACUUCGGGCUAUUUACUUCCCCGCCACUUUCCUGUCCACCACUCCGGCCUGCAGUCUCGUCAUUGUCCUCAGCUGCGCUUCCCGAGACACUUCCGUCUGGUUAACGGUCGCUUUUACCUACGACCGCUUCAUAGCCAUUUGCUGCCAACAGAUGAAGCUCAGAUACUGCACUGAGAAAACCGCAGCCAUUGUGAUUGGAGUAGUUUGCGUGUUGGGCUGUUUGAAAAACGUCCCCUUUUACUUCAUCUAUGAGCCUGUUUAUGUUAUGAAUAACGUCCCUUGGUACUGCAGCAUAAAAGAUGCCUAUUACAAAUCAGCUGGGUGGAGCUGUUUUGACUAUCUGGACCGUAUUUUAAACCCCUGCCUUCCGUUCGUCCUGAUUUUGCUGUUUAACGCUCUGACUGUCAGGUUCAUUCUCGCGGCCAGCAGAGCCCGGAGGAGACUCCGUGUCCAGAACAACGGGGCAAAACAGAGCGACCCCGAGAUGGAGAGCAGGAGAAAGUCCAUUAUUUUACUUUUCGCCAUUUCGGCAAGUUUUAUCCUCUUGUGGUUGACCUACGUUGUCAAUUUCGUGUUUGUACAAAUAACAAGCAAAACAUAUUCUGUCGUUUUCAAUGGCAGCAACUCAAAGUUUAUCCUUCAGGAGAGCGGGUACAUGUUGCAGCUUCUUAGCUCCUGCACCAACACGUGUAUUUAUGCAGGGACGCAGACCAAAUUCAGAGAGCAGUUGAAGACCGCGGUGAAAUAUCCAUUCGAAUUAAUUGUAAAAUUGUUAAAAUAAUGAUAUUAACGGGAAAAUGAUGCUACUUUCAAUUGUAGUAUCAAUAAUAUCAAUUAAAAUGAAGAAUAGUGCUAAUCUGGAUUGGAACUGCAUCUGAGCUGGUGUCUUAUGUUUUAUGGUCAGCUAGAUGUUAGUACAAGAUGCUUAUGAAGGACAAGCAAUGUAACCCGGUGGUUGUAAGCAUAAGGGUACAAAUAGUUUUACACUUCCUGUCAAAAAUAGCAAAAUUAAAUUCCAUUA